rnacentral:tmRNA from 1 species
GGGGGUGAGCUAGCUUCGACAGAUAUUAAAAAAAGUUACUUUUACUCGGUAAGAUACCGCCGUAAUGGAUCAAAAAAAGUAAAUGCAAACAAUAAGUUUGUACCUGCUAAUAGCGACUUUGUGCCAGCUCUUCAAGCAGCAUAACAUGAGCUAGUUAGCGCGGUUUGGGCUUGCCGGGCAACAGAAAAGCCCACAA